GUUAUAUGGUCAAGCGAUUAAGCGCAUACGGUGGAUGCCUUGGCAGCCAGAGGCGAUGAAGGACGUGAUAGCCUGCGAUAAGCGUUGGCGAGGUGGCAAAUACCCUGCGACCCAACGAUUUCCGAAUGGGGAAACCCACUCACCAUCAGGUGAGUAUCUAUAGGCCAAUACAUAACCUAUAGAGGCAAACCCGGGGAACUGAAACAUCUAAGUACCCGGAGGAAAAGAAAUCAACCGAGAUUCCCCAAGUAGCGGCGAGCGAACGGGGACCAGCCCUUAAGCGAUACAACUGACAGACGAACAAGCUGGGAAGCUUGACGAUACAGGGUGAUAGUCCCGUAGUCGAAGUCUGAGUAUCGUGAAAUCGAGUAGGUCGGGGCACGAGAAACCUUGACUGAACAUGGGGGGACCAUCCUCCAAGGCUAAAUACUCCUGGCUGACCGAUAGUGAACCAGUACCGUGAGGGAAAGGCGAAAAGAACCCCGGCGAGGGGAGUGAAAUAGAUCCUGAAACCGUAUGCGUACAAGCAGUGGGAGCACCUUCGUGGUGUGACCGCGUACCUUUUGUAUAAUGGGUCAGCGACUUAUAUUCUGUGGCGAGCUUAACCGUAUAGGGGAGGCGUAGCGAAAGCGAGUCUUAACUGGGCGACCAGUCGCAGGGUAUAGACCCGAAACCGGGCGAUCUAUCCAUGGCCAGGGUGAAGAUUGAGUAACAUCAAUUGGAGGCCCGAACCCAAGUAUGUUGAAAAAUGCUGGGAUGAGCUGUGGAUCGGAGUGAAAGGCUAAUCAAGCCCGGAGAUAGCUGGUUCUCCUCGAAAGCUAUUUAGGUAGCGCCUCACGUAUCACCGCUGGGGGUAGAGCACUGUUUCGGCUAGGGGGUCAUCCCGACUUACCAACCCGAGGCAAACUCCGAAUACCAGUGAGUGCAGCGUGGGAGACACACAGCGGGUGCUAACGUCCGUUGUGAAAAGGGAAACAACCCAGACCGUCAGCUAAGGUCCCAAAAUCCUGAUUAAGUGGGAAACGAUGUGGGAAGGCUCAGACAGCUAGGAGGUUGGCUUAGAAGCAGCCAUCCUUUAAAGAAAGCGUAAUAGCUCACUAGUCGAGUCGGCCUGCGCGGAAGAUAUAACGGGGCUAAAUCAGGUACCGAAGCUACGGGUUCAUCCUUAUGGAUGAGCGGUAGAGGAGCGUCGUGUAAGCCAAUGAAGGUGGAUUGAGAAGUCUGCUGGAGGUAUCACGAGUGCGAAUGCUGACAUGAGUAACGAUAAGGGGAGUGAAAAACUCCCCCGCCGGAAGACCAAGGUUUUCUGUUCUACGUUAAUCGGAGCAGAGUGAGUCGGCCCCUAAGGCGAGGCGGAAACGCGUAGUCGAUGGGAAACGGGUUAAUAUUCCCGUACCGGAUGUGGUUGCGAUGGGGGGACGAAGAAGGCUAGGUGAGCCAGGCGUUGGUUGUCCUGGUGAAAGCAUGUAGGCCGAGGAAUCAGGCAAAUCCGGUUCCUCUGAGGUCGAGAUGCGAGACGAACUGACCACGGUCAGGAAGUCAUCGAUGCCACGCUUCCAGGAAAAGCCUCUAAGCUUCAGAUCACAUGCGACCGUACCCCAAACCGACACAGGUGGUCAGGUAGAGAAUACCAAGGCGCUUGAGAGAACUCGGGUGAAGGAACUAGGCAAAAUGGCACCGUAACUUCGGGAGAAGGUGCACCGGUUCGAGUGAAGGACUUGCUCCGUAAGCUCUUACCGGUCGAAGAUACCAGGUGGCUGCAACUGUUUAUUAAAAACACAGCACUCUGCAAACGCGCAAGCGGACGUAUAGGGUGUGACGCCUGCCCGGUGCCGGAAGGUUAAUUGAUGGGGUUAGGAUUCGUCCGAAGCUCUUGAUCGAAGCCCCGGUAAACGGCGGCCGUAACUAUAACGGUCCUAAGGUAGCGAAAUUCCUUGUCGGGUAAGUUCCGACCUGCACGAAUGGCGUAAUGAUGGCCACGCUGUCUCCACCCGAGACUCAGUGAAAUUGAAAUCGCAGUGAAGAUGCUGUGUACCCGCGGCUAGACGGAAAGACCCCGUGAACCUUUACUAUAGCUUUACACUGGAUGCUGAUGUUGUCUGUGUAGGAUAGCUGGGAGGCUUUGAAACCGCGUCGCCAGAUGCGGUGGAGCCGGAUCGAGGACAGUGUAUGGUGGGUAGUUUGACUGGGGCGGUCUCCUCCUAAAGAGUAACGGAGGAGCACGAAGGUACCCUCAGCACGGUUGGAAAUCGUGCAUUGAGUGCAAGAGCAUAAGGGUGCUUGACUGCGAGACAGACACGUCGAGCAGGUACGAAAGUAGGUUCUAGUGAUCCGGUGGUUCUGUAUGGAAGGGCCAUCGCUCAACGGAUAAAAGGUACUCCGGGGAUAACAGGCUGAUACCGCCCAAGAGUUCACAUCGACGGCGGUGUUUGGCACCUCGAUGUCGGCUCAUCACAUCCUGGGGCUGAAGUCGGUCCCAAGGGUAUGGCUGUUCGCCAUUUAAAGUGGUACGCGAGCUGGGUUUAGAACGUCGUGAGACAGUUCGGUCCCUAUCUGCCGUGGGCGUCGGAAGUUUGAGAAGAGCUGCUCCUAGUACGAGAGGACCGGAGUGGACGAACCUCUGGUGUUCGGGUUGUCAUGCCAAUGGCAUUGCCCGGUAGCUACGUUCGGACGGGAUAACCGCUGAAAGCAUCUAAGCGGGAAGCCCCCUUCAAGAUGAGACUUCCCUGAGGCCUUGCGCCUCCUGAAGGGCCCUUGAAGACUACAAGGUUGAUAGGCUGGGUGUGGAAGCACAGCAAUGUGUUGAGCUAACCAGUACUAAUUGCCCGUGAGGCUUGACCAUAUAACACCCAAGGGGUUU
rnacentral:rRNA from 1 species